CCUACGGGUGGCAGCAGUGGGGAAUAUUGGGCAAUGGGCGCAAGCCUGACCCAGCAACGCCGCGUGAAGGAUGAAGGCUCUCGGGUUGUAAACUUUUUUUCUCAGUGACGUAGCAAGUGACGGUACUUGAGGAAUAAGCCAAGUCUAACUACGUGCCAGCAGCCGCGGUAAUCCGUAGGUGGCAAGAAUUAUCCGGAUUUACUGGGUGUAAAGGGCGUGUAGGUGGGAAUGGAAGUCAGAUGUGAAAACCACGGGCUCAACCUAUGGCCUGCAUUUGAUACUGUAGUUCGUGAGUACUGGAGAGGCAGACGGAAUUCGUGGUGUAGCGGUGAAAUGCUUAGAUAUUAGGAGGAACACCAGUUGCGAAGGCGGUCUACUAAACAGCAACUGACGCUGAGGCGCGAAAGCGUGGGGAGCAAACAGGAUUAGAUACCCGGGUAGUC
rnacentral:rRNA from 1 species